rfam:Tupaia chinensis contig218888, whole genome shotgun sequence.
GUGUACCCGCUUCAGCAGCACAUACACUAAAAUUAGAAUGAUACAGAGAUUAGCAUAGCUACUGCACAAGGAUAACACACAAAUUCGUGAAGUAUUCCAUAUUUCU